rnacentral:rRNA from 1 species
CGUGGGUACCUACCUUGCAGUGAGGAAUACCACCGAGAAAUCGGUGACAAGACCGCAUACGCUCUUUCUUGCAAAAGAGAGAACAAAGCUCCUUUUCGGAGGGGCGCCACAAGAUGGGCCUGCGCCUGAUUAGCUAGUUGGUGGGGUAAAAGCCUACCAAGGCCACGAUCAGUAGCUGGUCUGAGAGGACGAUCAGCCACACUGGGAUUGAGAACGGCCCAG